rnacentral:rRNA from 1 species
GACGAACGCUGGCGGCGUGCUUAACACAUGCAAGUCGAACGGAAAGGCCCUGCUUUUGUGGGGUGCUCGAGUGGCGAACGGGUGAGUAACACGUGAGUAACCUGCCCUUGACUUUGGGAUAACUUCAGGAAACUGGGGCUAAUACCGGAUAGGAGCUCCUGCUGCAUGGUGGGGGUUGGAAAGUUUCGGCGGUUGGGGAUGGACUCGCGGCUUAUCAGCUUGUUGGUGGGGUAGUGGCUUACCAAGGCUUUGACGGGUAGCCGGCCUGAGAGGGUGACCGGCCACAUGGGGACUGGGAUACGGCCCAGACUCCUACGGGAGGCAGCAGUGGGGAAUAUUGCACAAUGGGCGGAAGCCUGAUGCAGCAACGCCGCGUGCGGAUGACGGCCUUCGGGUUGUAAACCGCUUUCGCCUGUGACGAAGCGUGAGUGACGGUAAUGGGUAAAGAAGCACCGGCUAACUACGUG